GUAGGCUUUCCCUGACUGUAGAUGAUAGCAACUGUCUCUGAAAAUAACUCAUCUGGCUCAGACAGAGGGCAGAGCCACACCUGUCCCCAGUCCACACUAAUGGAACUCCUCUGAGUUUUCUGUUUGCUCAGCUUCCCCCCCCUUACCACACUAGCCUCAGGUAGAACAGCACUCCUAGUUCCCUACCUCUCCUUCUUGUGGCUCCCUGGAGUUGCAUAAUUGUCUGGGAUAAUGUAGAAGGCAGAGAAGACUUAGCAAAAGGAGCCCACCAGCCUCCCUGUAGGAGGAGACCAGGACACUGGGGACAGGGAGCAGGUGAGGAGGCUGGAGGCGAGUGAUGUGGAGCAUGGGUCUCUAUACUCUGGAAGCCCCGGACUUGGCCUUGUGGGCAGUGAGGAGACACCAAGGACACUGCAGAAAAAAAAACAUGUGGUAGUAACAGAACCAGGACCUCAAAUCCAGGUUUGCUGACUCUUGGCCAUGGAAGACUGCUUCCCUGAGACAGCUGGCAGGACGAGGGACAGGGAAGCUUGCCCAACUGAGUGGCUUCCACUUUCUCUCCCUGGACUCCCCCUCCCCCAUCAAAUGUUUCUUCGCUGAGCGAAAACAGCAGAAGUAAUACGGCUACAAAUCAAGAGAAGCCCUGCUUCUGAAUCUGCCUGUGUCCACCUGACCUUUCUGUGUGACUGUGGGCAAGUCGUCUUCCCACCCAGAGAGCAGUUUUGAUAUCUGCACAACCGGGAGGUUGGCCCGCUCAAGGGCAGCAUGCUUCUGGCAUUCCUACUGGAGUUUCCCCUUGCCAUGUCCGCAGCAGACACUACCGGUCACAGGCUCUGGUUAUUCCGCGCCUGUGUGCAGCUUCAGAAACCUUUUCAACACUACUGAUGGACCAGAAAUGGCCAAUGAGAUGAGACUGAUUCAUGAGUGUACUAAGCGAUCUAAACUUAAAAGUACCACCCACGUUUCCACCUCUGAUUUCCCAUGGCUCCAAGGAUCUGAUCUGAGAACCCAAGGAAGACCCUGGACUGAUGGUGAAGACUCGUAAAGAAGGCUAUCUCUCACCUCUGACCUCUCAGCGGGGCUAUACAUUCUCUUGCAUGCACUCUAGAGCAAAGAUGGGGUCAGAAUAGGACACCCAGAUGCUGAAAUCUCACACUCCCAUGGGUCUAUCAGGUCUACAGCAGAGAAAGGAAGAGAUAUGGGUAGAAAUCAAAGUCUCUGGUCAGCGUUGGGAACUGAUGUCCUACCGCAACUGGUGCCACCAGGACCUUCCUCUCCCCAACCACCCCAUGUCAUAAGGGCGAUCAGGCAGUGAUGGCAACAAAGUGAACAACUCCAGCUACCCCAAGAUAAUUUAUGCCAACACAGCCACAUGCCAACGUGUGGACUCACUAUGUAGCCCGGGCUGGUCUCCAGCUCGUGGCAGUCCUCUUGCUUCAGCCUCCCCAGUACUGGGAUUACAGGGAGCUGCAGGGGAGGAGAGAACAGGUUGGCUUAGGCUCAAACGACUGAACAGAAGGGGCUUUGAGAAGAAAAGUGACUUCUUCCCAAGUUCAUCGGAGGUCCUGCCGUGGGGACUGGAAUCCAAAGUGCCCGCCCUAUCUCUGAUCAGCCUGCUUCUCACACCACAGCCACAUGCUGGGCCUGGGUUUCCCUCCCAAGAGUCAUGAGAAAAUUCCGUGCCUCACCGAGC
rnacentral:lncRNA from 1 species